UUGUGGUUAAAAAGCUCGUAGUUGGAUCUCAACAGCCUUGAAGCGGUUAACUUUGUAGUUUUACUGCUUUAUAGGCUGUGCUUUUGCUGGAGGUUUAGGGGUGCUCUUGAUCGAGUGUCUCUGGAUGCCAGCAGGUUUACUUUGAAAAAAUUAGAGUGCUCAAAGCAGGCUAAAAUGCCUGAAUAUUCGUGCAUGGAAUAAUAGAAUAGGAUGUCGAUCCUAUUUUGUUGGUUUUCGGGACUCGACAUAAUGAUAAAUAGGGACAGUCGGGGGCAUUUGUAUUCAAACGACAGAGGUGAAAUUCUUGGACCGUUUGAAGACAAACUACUGCAAAAGCAUUUGCCAAGAAUGUUUUCAUUAAUCAAGAACGAAAGUUAGAGGUUCGAAGGCGAUUAGAUACCGCCCUAGUUCUAACCAUAAACGAUGCCAGCUAGCGAUCUGCCUGCGUUUUUACUGUAGACUGGGCAGGAAGCUUCCGGGAAACCAAAGCAUUUGGGUUCCAGGGGAAGUAUGGUUGCAAAGCUGAAACUUAAAGGAAUUGACGGAAGGGCACCACCAGGAGUGGAGCCUGUGGCUUAAUUUGACUCAACACGGGAAAUCUCACCAGGCCCGGACACUGGAAGGAUUGACAGAUUGAUAGCUCUU
rnacentral:rRNA from 1 species